UGGUAUCGUAUCGUAUCGAAAUUCGUGUCCCUACAUAUAAAAUUCUUAGAUACAGGAAAAAACAUGAACUGUCAUAAAAUAAAAUGAGCCGUAAAAAUUAGUGUCGGGAUGAUUUUGAAUCAGAUUUAAAAUUAGUAUCGUAGUAGUGCUAAUUAUUUAUUGCUUAUCUGGGCAGCUAUUGCCCUAAACACACUUCAUACAUACUUGCAAGUUUUUGUGAAAUAGAAAUGUCCGAAAAUAACGAAUCGGCUUCCAAUUUUCGCUCCCAAUAUGAAGAUUUAUGUAGAGAACUCAAUAUGGACCGCGAAACGGAAGACCUUUCAUGGAAAAUGUUUGAAGAGGUGUUACAGCGAUCAACACUAGAGGGAGAUUCUUUGCACUGGUUUUGUUGUGCACUUUAUGCGGCAUGCAGAUUGUCUUACACUCCCACUGUUGGCGAGUCCAAUGCCAUUGUGAUGGGUAAUUGCAUCUCACUGAAUAAAAUGCUUCGAUGCUGUAAUAUAAGUAGUAUAUCGGAGUUCAUAUCAAAAAAUUAAGGUAUGGCACGAAAUGGCUAAUUUACCGUGCAGUUUUCUUCGACAAAUUGAGAGAUUAGAAAGGACACCUGGGAUAACCUUUCACCUUUAUUGUCGGUACAAUGAUAUAUUUGAAAAAUUAUUCAUUUCAUCCCGAUAUGACAAAAAAAAUACAAAGUACAGGCGACCUGAUUAUUAAGACCAUUUGGGUUAUUAAACGGGAUAACUUUCCUAUAUGUGCGAUUUUAAAAAGGCAGGUCGUCGGAAGGUGAGGGAGUGGGGAAAAAAAACGGGGUAUGAAGACUGUUAGACAGCUGUAUCCACGUUCCCAAAGUGAAAAGCGUAGCCUUCCUAGAAUUCUAUUUAAAAUUUACUCAGAGUUCACUUAUUUCUGCGAAGGCGGCCCUCGCCGGCGCCUAAGCAUUAUAACGCGGACUAAGCAGAAUUCUCGGUUCCGUGUUGCCUCUUCUUUUGUCAAGUGUGUGAUCUUUUGCCAACGUGUAUUGGCUUUGUAACCAGCAAUUGAUGGUAUUUCAACAUAUUAUUCUUUUUAAUUAGUUAUUUAAUAAUAAAAGCACUUUUUACAAAAGUGCGAUUCUUUAUCAACGUGUGCAUGCGAUGAACAUUAAUUUUGGCCCACCCAUUCCAACGUAACAAAUAAAACAAAAUCGCACAUAUAGGAAAGCGAAGUCUAUUAAACUCAAGUUUGUGUAAAUCAAGGCUGCAUUUAAAAUUUAUUUCGAGGCUGGAACAAAAAAAAAAUGACGCCCACCUUUCCAAAUUGAAAGAGCAAAUGCCAAGGAAUUCAAUGACAUGAUUGCCUUAUCCUCGGACUCCAGAGCUUCUCAGGCGAGCCUCUUGAAAACUGUGCAAAACACCGUUGAUUUUGUUUAGAAAAUACAACAACUAUUUAAAGUGAAAUAAAUAGGCAUCUUUUGCGCGGAUCAAAAAUAACCCUCAUCGGUCGAACUCCGGCUACGCUUACCACAGUAUUUUUGCGCAGAAUACCUUUCCGCGUUGGCGGCCUUCGUCUGCGCUUAGGUAUUAUAACCCUUAGUACGCAAAAUUAUUCUUUCUGUGUUGACUGCGAAAAGGGGGGACAAUGAUACACAGCCCAAUUCUGAAUACUCCCAGCGAGUUUGUUCUCCGGGAAAUGUGUCUCUCCCGAGAAUAAUUAACUCCCAGGGAGUAGCAUUUCGAACUUCGAAAUAUCUGUUGGACAUUUUUUGAGAGAAAAAACCUCCCAGGGAGUUUCUGUUUCGAAUCGGGCUGAUGGAAUAUUUUCUGCAUAUGAGUAUUCAAGAUGGCGUGGUGAUGAUAUAGAGCUGGUUUCUCCAACUCAACUUAAUUUAUCUGAUUUUUUAGACGUAGUCUAAACUAAGUUAAGUUGAGUCGGAGAAACCAUCCCAUAGUCUUUUUGCGCAGACCUUUCUGCGUAUGCCGCCUUCGAUGUUUUUCUAUUUUGAAGAGGCGUGCCUGAGGAGCCCUGCAGUCGAAGGAGAAAGACUCAUGUCAUUGAAUUCCUUGGUCUUGUUCUUUCAAGCUGGAAAGGUAAAUGGUGC